rnacentral:rRNA from 1 species
CCUUGUACACACCGCCCGUCACACCAUGGGAGUUGGUUCUACCCGAAGGUAGUGCGCUAACCGCAAGGAGGCAGCUAACCACGGUAGGGUCAGCGACUGGGGUG